AUGUAACCCUGGUAAGAUUUACAGCAAUCAGAAGUACAGGGUUCUUUGAAUGCAUCGUAGUCCUUGUCUGAUAGUUUAAUUUCCGGGCUUGCCCUGAAGGCACCAUCUGCAGCUCCGUGCGCGUGAAGGUGUGGUGUAGAGGAAAAAGGACGGCAAGGAAAAACUCCAUGCUGCCGCGGAGCACGGUUUUUUCCAGUUGAAAGAGAGGAAAGAGGUUUAAUUAACAUUUGUGAGAGAGCUGUCGUUAGCGGUGAACCACAGACGGGUACCUACCUGAAAGGAGCCGGAGUAUUUCUUUGAACUUUUUGAACUAUUCUGACUGACUGGUUUUUUUUUUGAGGUACAGUUCCAUGGGUGCCAAGUGAGGAGCUGGUAUCGUGGGUCUAAGACACUGUUGCUGCUGUGGAGGCCUUCUCUGUGUCAGGACGCCGACACGUUGAUGCCUGCCGUACCAGGAGGGCGGUAGGGAAAAAACAAAAGGAAGCCCACCUGAGAGAUACCUUAUCAUUUUCUUUGCUACUUUUUCUCCGCCUGAGAUUCAGGUCGUUUUCAGUUCUUAACCCAGGACAGUGGGUAACUGAAUAAACUGACACCAUAAGGAACUGGACACUCACAUGCUAUUUUCUUUUCUUUUUCCUUUUCUUUGGGGUGUUGAAAUAUUGUGUUUCUUGUCUUACAUCUAUUUUGAUUGUUUCAAUUAUUUUUGUGAUGCAUUUGAGAUGGUUACUGCAUUUGAAGGUAUCCCUACAUUGAGGAUGAGCAAAGGGAACUGAUCCAAAAGGAAAUAUAUAAAGCAAACUUUGUUUCAUAAACCUGUGGUCGUGCGUGUUAUGUGGGUUGGAAGUCUCAUUGCUCUUACAGAGUUGCUACCGCCAAUCUCCUUCCCAAACCUAGAUUCGGAUAUUGUAGACAUUGCACUUGGGCGAGCAGUAUAGAUCAUCUCUUUAUAGAUAGAGGGACACACGUCCAGGUUACAUUUAGUUAUAUUGUGACUUACUCUCACAGAAGAUACAGAUGCCACAAACAGACUUUGAACAACGCAUGUGCUUGUAUGCACCACAUUUCUGGCACUGCACCUGUGAAUUAAAAAAAAAAGAAGAAGAAGAAAUAAACAAACAAAAAACAAAUGAACAAAGUCCAUUAAAUAAACAAUCUAUAUGGCUAAGGACAUGUCAUAGUGUACCCGGUCUUUGGCUGCAAUCACACACCAGC
ensembl:lncRNA